GGAAUCUAACAUCUGAUAUCCGAAAUCCGACUUCUGACAUCUGAUAUGGAGGAAAGUCCGGACUCCUCCCGCUCCUCGCGAGGAGCGGGGAUAAAGGCAGUCGCUAACAGCGACCAAGAGUAAUUUUAGGGAAAGUGCCGCAGAGACUAUACUAAUCAAUGCUUCGCAUUGGUUAAAGGUGAAAAGUUAAUUGAUGUCUUUUACCCUCGAGAUAAAAGGCUACAAUUUUUCUCAACUGGCGACAGUUGAAGAUGGUAAACCCUGCCUGGAGCAAGAGCAAACCUCCCCGAUGUAUAUCGGGGAGAUGAAAAGUGGCUCGCAUGAUCCCGCGAGCAAUCGCGGGGCUAGAUAGAUGAUCAUCUUCCCGAUGCAAAUCGGGGAACAGAAUCCGGCUUAUAGCUUGCCUUGAUAU
rnacentral:RNase_P_RNA from 1 species